rnacentral:lncRNA from 1 species
CCCCCCCUUUUUUUUUUCUUUUUUUAAGAUAAUCAUGUUCUUUUCUUAAUACGAAUAAUAUAAAAAAUUCUAACAUCUAUAUUCUAAUCUACAUUCCCGGACAUUCAUCUAUACAACAGUAAUGUUUUUUUUUUUUUUUUUUCUGACUAAAUAGAAUUCCUGACGUUAGGAUAUCAAAGUGGGGUUAACGAAAAAGAAAACAGAACGAACUUCGUGGAAAUUAAUGACAACGACUAGCUACCUCUGCAAUCGCCAAUCAGGUUUAGUGGCACCAAGAUUCAACCCCCAAUUGAGCAUACAAGGCAGAAUAUUGGCUUGUGUUCUUGAUGGAUUUGGAAAUGUGUUCCGGGUCCGGACCCGGUAACAACAGUCACAGAAAGCACUAGAAUGUGUCACGGCCAGGACCAGUUCCAGAACCAUCAGAAGAGAAAAUUGGACCACAUCACAAGCCGAAAAGGUAACCAUUAAACCAAACCAAAAGUCGGGAGAUCAUUACAUUCAUUUAUGCAAAACACGAUCAUACCGGGAGUUGACAUGUACAUGAUACUUCUUAUCAGACAAGGAAGUUGAAACUAGUUUGUACUUUACUAGUAUUAUAUCAUACAUAUUACUACUGAGCAGUAGCUUUCUUGGCUUUCUUAGCAGCAGAGGACUUGAUGGAUUUGGGCUGCUUUGGUUUGGCAGCAGCCGAUUUCUUUGCCUUCUUAGGCGGAGGAGGAGCGGCGGCGGCAGACUCUGCUUUGAUUUUAGCUGCAGCAGUUACGGACCUUGUUUUCCUUGGGGCCUUGGCCUUGGUCUUGAUCUCUUUUUUGGUUUUGCCAGCUGCCGCUUCAGAGAGCUUGUAAGAGGCCCUGAUCUUGAUGAGAUUUCCUUUCGCAGCGAAGUGCUUCAGCUGCACUGCCAAUAUUUUCCUGAAAUUCGCUGGGAGCUCAUCUUUGUGCUUCUCUUCCAUGUACUUGGCUAUUGCGUAUGGGCUUGAACCGCUCUUAUCUUGCAGCGCCAUCAGUGCCUCCGUUAUCAUCUGCACAAUUAAUUACAAUAAUAUCAAAAACUUCCUUCAAUGAACGUGACUUAUAAUUUAAUUUGAUUAAAUUGACAAACCUGAAAAUAAGGAGGAUGAGAGGGGGUUUUGGACUGCUUUGGCUUCUUCUCUUUAGGAGCCUUGGGCUUCUUGUCCUUAGCAGCCUUGGCCUUCUUCUCAGUGACGACCUUUUCCGGCUCCUCCGCAGCCGGCUGCUGCUCCGUCACAGCUUCACCUUCUGUGGCCAUCUACUUUCGCAACUAACGAAUCCGCUCAAAACGAUCUCGCAGAAUUACUAGAAGAAAACUAAAGCCUUGAAUUACAGCCUUGAUUGUUUAUUUAUUAAAUAUCGGAGGAAAUGAUCCUUAAUUUAUACUAGCGCUCCAUCCCGGUGAAAAUUUUGUUAUUGGUCCGUUGGAAUUAAAGUAGAUCGCCAGCGUGUUCAAGGAUAUAUCUAGAACUCACACGUGGAACGAUAUCCGACCGUCCCUUACUAUACCAGUUUAAUUUUGCUUAAAAUGGAAUGCGGAGUGGAUUGAAAUUUUCAUUUCGACGUUGGUCUUCUUCCUCUUUGUUGUGUGCUUUCUAUUUUGAUUUACACUGCGAUAUCUUGGGCAUGAAGUCGGCUUUUUUCAUUUUUUUUUUUUGGGAAUGCAAGCUAAGUAAGUCCAGAUUAUAAUGCGGGUCACAUGGAGCAAAAUGGUUGAGUUAAUUGAAUUCUCAAAACAAAAUGUUGUUGGUGUAUGUUGGUUUUGCUUUUUACUUUGUUACUCCGUUGUGCUGUGAAAUUAGAGAAAGCCAUUAUUAGCAAUACGUGAUUGAAAUUUAUAAUUAGGUUUCUCUCUUUCAAAUACAACAAUUAUUUACAAACACAUGAUUAACAUACUAAAUAAGAUCAAAGAUAAUUAUACACCGACCACCUAUUUUUUUUAACUUUUUUAAAAAUACACAAAUCUUAUUUUUUUUGAGACAAUAUUCUACUUGAAGUUAACAUUUUUUUUUAUUUGUCCACUCCCGUCAUAGCACUGUUAGAACUUUGUUGACAUAGUAAGGGUAAAAUUUUUAUUUCACAAGAACAAAAAAAACGACAUUAUUUUAUGUUCCUUUUUUAUUUCCUUUUAUUUUUGGAUAUUAGAAAUUUUUGGUUAAAUUUAAAUUCUUUUAUUAAUUGGUAUCCCUGUUUCUUCUAAUAUAAAUAUAUAUAUACAUUAGAUGCAAAAGUAAUUCAAAUAUGAAUAAAGGAUAAAAGAAAAGUGUACUAGAUUUUGGAAUUUGCCAAUUCAGAAAUGAAAAUAGAAAUUAGAAGUUGAGCCUCUAAUUCCUAUCUUUUUCUUUUCUUGAGUCGGUACUGUGAGUAUAGGAUGUUCUAGUUUUGAUAUUGGAUAUGCCAAACAUUGUAACAAGCUCAAGGAUGGAAACAGAAGUUUUGUGGGGCUUCUACAGUGUCGUAUUGAUCUUGGAAAAUUUUAAAUGAUAUUUCUUUGCCAUUUAUUUGAGACAAAAGAAUAAUUUUAUAUUCAGGGAAAAAAAGAUCGUUUAAUUAAUAUUCUGUUAAAUCUAUUAAUUCCGUUAUAACAGAAGUUGACAAGUAAAAAGAAUGUUAACUUUCAGUAUAGCACUGUCCCUAAAAAAAAAAUCGUGUAUUUUUGAAAAAAAAAAAAAAACAUAUGAUACGUGGAUAAUUGCCCUAGAAUCAGUAACUCUUACUCAUUGUUCUCGCACUUUAAGAGUGUACAACGAGGGACAAGAAAAAAACACACCCAAUUAGGAAAACUCGGAAAACACAGACCUACACCACCAAACAUUACUUUUUUAUCCAGAUUCUCUGUCUGAACUUCCGAUUUAAAAGCAAGUUCCAACCGGUUAAGGUCAACAAGAUCAGUAUUUCAAAUAGUUGUUUUCAACGUAAACAGGAUUGCUAUAGAUCCAGAUGAAGAAAAGUUGGGAAUUCAUCAUCGUAAUAAAACUUUAAAUUACAUUAACAAAAGCUAAAAAAUGAUUUGAUGUUAUAACAAAAGGCAGCAUAUACAAGGUUUUUAGGUAAACUAAAUAAAUAAACAAGCGUUGAAGUGGUGUUCUUUUGUCAACAUAGUAGCAUAAUGAACAAAAUCUUAUUAAGAUCGGAAACUCUUAUCGUUUACAACUGUAGGGAUAUCAUCCAACACAUAUUCUACGGUGCAGUAGUGGAAAUCAAAUGUUCAAUAAAACAAAAAGGUCAAAAGUGAAGGAAAAAAAAUAUUAAUAGAAAAUUGUAAGAUCACGUAAUAAGUCCAACUUCAACAAUAAAGUUUGGCUGCCAGCAUUUCACGGCAUGAUCAAGAGACUUUCACAAUCAUACAAUGAACUGAAGCAUUUGCAAGAGUCAAUGACGCCCGCUUAUUUGAAUAAUACAAAUUACACAGAGCUAGUAAAUAACUACGAAGCAGCUGUCCUAUAGAUAGAACUACAAUAGAUUAAAUAAAUACAUUAGAGGUCAGAUAUUCCCUUUACAAAUGAUUUUUUUAGCUGGAAAUGGAAAGCAACAUUUUUUCCUUGAAGGAGCAAAGCCCGGGCUUAAAAUAUAAAUGAGCUGGAAGACCCCUGUGGACCGACAACAGUUUCGCUUCUGCAGUGAAACUCAACAUUUACACACUAGAUAGACAACAGUUUGAAAAUAUGUGAACCGUGAGGAAACCACCCCCCAAACCCCCUUAAACUCACAUCCACAUCUUAACCACACUAGGCAAAUUUGAGGCCAAUCAACCAAAAAAUUAUACUCCACCUAGCUUCCGAUAUUUUCUGACAUUAUGAUUUAAGGUGAAGAGGCAUUAUCAAAAGACUUAACUAACUCAAUUUUGUUUUAUCUUAGUAUCCGUCUCCACCGCCUAAAACAAAAAAAAUGAUUCCACAGAAGCUAAAAGACAUUUUCAGCAGAUCCCUCGGGUUUAAAUUCGCUCAUAUCUGUCAAUUUCUUCAACCACAAAUUUGUUAUCUUUGGCUGUUUACCAACACGCCCCAAAUUCAACUAAAAUAUGAUUAAUUAUCCUAUUCAAAACAUCUUACAUCCAAACAAACUCACUCAAAACUUAACAGUAUCAACCAUUAAAAAAAAAAACACUUGAACGAUAAGACUGCUAUAGCAAACAGGAGCUGAAACAUGCAAACCAAUAAUCAGAUUAAAGUUCAUAAGGAAAAUCCAACACAGAAACUGAUCUACUAAAGAAGGGGUGGGGAUAUUUAGGUAAACAAAGCAAUACAUGAUAAACAUGAUAAUUACAGCAAAUAGACAUCAUCAAAAAUUUGGGUUGAAUGCAAAAAUAGCAAAAAAAAUUAAAAACAAACCACAGCAGAUAAAUAUAUUGACAAUGGAAAAGAAAGAUUUUUAUGGUUUUUCUAAAAAAAAAGGAAAAAUCAGUUAAAACAGGGAGUGAGGGUUGAAGGCGGCUACAGUAUAUAUAGAAUUUGUAAAGAAGUUUAGUUGAUUGCAAUUUUGAGAUAUCCAGAAGUGUGUAAAUAAAAUAUAAUUUUUAUAUUUUCAUCAUGAACUUUAAGAAAACAGAAAUGUGUGGGUUCAAGUAUCCCCAUGCAAGAAAGAAGCAAGAUUUAUAUCACCUAUUUUUUAUGAAAAUGGAGAUAAGCAAAUCAAGUGUAUUCACUUCACAAUUUAUGGUAAUUUUGAACCAACUUCACAGCUAAACCUUCAAAAGUUCAAUGAAUCAGAAUAGUAACUAAUUGUCCUCUAUGUACCAUCCAAAUAUCACUUGAGUAUAAUUUAGUGGCAAUUAGAAUAAAAGCACACGAUCCCUUGUAAAAGCUAUUUAUGAAACUAACCACGUCCUUAGAGCAAAACCCAGAGUGAAUCUGAUUUCAAUCCAACCAAAGAUUGAAGCUGAACAUGGAAAGAACAGCACUAAGAUCUCUCCUAGAAGUAUAAAUAAAAUUGCAUAUGAUCCCUUCUGCUCCUUCCCAAAUAAAGGUCAAACAAAAGGUUUUAGUAAUCUUCAGUUUGUUAGAGAGUAGCACCUUUAAAACAAAAUCCACAAUUAUCAGAUAAGACUUUCAAGCUGAAGAGGUUUGGAACAGAUGCAAAACAUUGACCACCACCAGAAACAUAUCUAGUCAGAAAGAAACAUAUUCAAUUGAUACAAUAAGGAUGGAUCAUCUUGAAGAACUGCCAUAUUCACUCAAGUAACCAAUAAAAUCUCUAAAGCACAGUCCCCUUCAAUCCAUAACAUAUAUCCAGAUCGGUAGGCAGGUUUCAGAUUGCAUAUUCCUAUACAAGGUCUACACUUUUUGUUUCUCCAAAAACAUAAAACAUAGGGAGAUCUCCAUAAAAGCACUAUAGCCAUAGGCAAUUAAAGUUUAAACUAACUUCUGCAUCUGUCGCGAUAUAAUAAAAGCCAUAGCUUGAACUUUCCAAUUCCACAAAAGAGUCACCCAGUCCACUUCCUUUUAACAGCUUCAAGAUUAAACAUCAAUCUGUAUUCUUGAUCCAUGACGUACUCAUGAAUAUAGAAGGAAACUUAUACUGCCCUUUACCACAACAACCGAUAUAAAAAAACCUCCAGUUCAUACCUAGAGCAGAGGGAGCACAAUCUAUUACAAUCUCCGACGUACAGAAGAAAUAUAAGUUUCUUAGUCCAGGUCCUUCAUGUAUGUAACCUAACUAGACACAUUGAACUCCUAACAUGGUGCUAAUUAUAGUAGAAACAUAACUAGAAAGAGAUGUACAGGGUAAUGGAAGACAAGGGGAAAAAGUUGAAUGAAGAUAAUUAAUAAAAAUUAAAAAGGCAACUGCCACCAUAUUUUCAGCAGCAAGCCAGCUGCCCAUCAACAAUGAACUGCAUCCUGCAUUUCCCAGCCCACCUAGACAAAAGAGUGAAACAGCCUCUAAAAGUUAUAAGGUGAACGCAUUUACCAUAAAACUCAGGAAACUUAAAAUUGCAAUACAGCUGCCAUUACCAAAGGAUCUCGAGUCUAGUAGAAAUAGCCACCUCCAUAUAAGCGAUCAUCCCCGUAAUAUGGUGGGUAAGGUGGAUGUGCACCAUACUGAAAAAAUGAAAAUAUGAUGGAACAUUAUAAAAAUGUCAUCUGCACAUCAAUAUGGACAUGCUAAAACUGCGAGCUUACAUUGGGAACAUGAUAAUCAUCUGAAUAGUGAUUACUGCAAGCUCCAACAUUAUCUAAACAAAAUAAAAUACAGAUGAGCAAUAGGAUGAAUAAAACAUGAAAUUGAGCCUGCCUAAAAAAGUCAACAAAUGCAAAGCAUUGCAUACCAUGAUGAUGGCUUCCAUGAAAUGGAAUUACUGGAUCAUUAUAAUCCAGUCGUGGUCGGAAUCUUCUUGGCCCCAUGCAAUCAGGCUCAUGGUCCUACAGGCAGUAAGCAAAAUUCCAACUAAUAACACUAGGAUAAUUGGUAAAGGAUAGGAACAAACGUGUUAGAAACGUAAAUCAGAGAUAAUAAAAAAUUGGACAAAUAGCUUGCCAUCACAUGGAAUGACCGCUUUACUCCAUGGGCACGGUCAUCAUAAAAAUAAGGGUCAUCAACUUGUCUCCCAAUAAAAGGUCUGUCAAAGUCUUCGCCUUGAGAAAAUGGUUGCCUCCUAUAAGAAUGAUGCUCCCCAUAGCCUCUAUCGGGGCCAUCCGGCCAAAGUCUAGUAGGAUUAGACCUUGAAGGCCCAGCUCCUGCGGCGGCUCUACUAGGUGCAUUAUAACCACCUCUGAAACUCCUUCCUCCUGUAAGUAAUAUAUAUCAAAUUGUAAGACCAGCCUCUAUGUGUUAACUCAUACAUGCUUGUGUAGUUGUGCACAUGGAUGCAUCAACAAACAAGCUCAGAGAGAGAGAGAGAGAGAGAACCUCGUCCAAUAAAUUGUCUCCCAUGAAACUCAGUGUAUCGGUUGUCAAAGUCAUACUCAGUGGGACCCAUUCUACUACUGUGAUUCCGACCAUGUUGAUAGAAACCCCUGCCGCGUUGGAAAUUUGCCCUGUUAAAGUGAUGUCCAGCCCGCCCAGAGCCCCUUCCUAUAAGCCAUAAAAGUAAUCAUAAGCAAAAGGCAUGGACAUGAAAAUCUAAAGCCUCAGUUUCUAAAAGAUAGUAGAUUACCAUAUCUUGAAAAGGUUCUGCUGCUACCAUGACCAAUUCGGAAUCCACCAGACAUACCACCCUUCACUGCCUGAGUUUUUGGCAUCGGAUUUGAAAGUCUUGCUCUCAGUUUUACCUAGGAGGACAUGACAAAUCAAUAAAAUCUAUUAUCCCCGAGGUAUAAGCCCAGUUGGCUUAACUCUUGCAGUGGAAGCAAGAUGUGAUGGCGGUUCAAGCCCAAGGGGAUACCUUUAAUUUGGGGUUAGGUUAGGUUCAUUGUAACUGAAAAGAAUUUACCCCAGGCCAUUAACUGAUAAGUGCAAGUCACAGACAUGUACAUGAAAAUGAUAAGAGUCUACAAGAGAACAAAAGGGGCAUUGACUUCUACUUGUUCUUCUUCUUAUUAUCAUUAUUAAUUUUGGAUGACAAUGCAGCAGAUUGUUCAGGAAGCUUUAAUUAGAUAAUCUCUAACAAAUUAGCAUUUUCAAGAAAAAAAGUAAGAAAAUGCAACCCAUUUGAAAACUUAAAGCCCCUACAAUAUAGAUGUAGACACAAAAGCAUAUACACCACAGCACAUCCAAUAUCAAACUACAAGCUUCACCUUUGAAUUGCCAUCACUGAAUUCUUUAUUGUUUAUGGCAUUGAUGCAAGCAACAGCAGCUUCAUGGGUUGAGAAAUCAAUAAACCCAUAGUCCUUCCUUUUAGCAGUUGACAUAUUUCGAGCUAGGACAAUCCGUAUAACAUCCCCAUAGCCUUUUAUCUGAUCUCUAAUUUGGUUUUCUUUCCAGUGAGGAGGAACCCCAUCAAGAAAUACAGUCUUCACAUGGGCCAUUAUUUCUGGGUCAGGCUCACGUAAAGGUUCAGCAAAAGCUACCUUGACAGUUCUUUCGGGAUGACCAAAAACAACAUCAGGCUUCUGAAGCCUCUUGUAUGCAGCCAUAGCAUCAACAUGGCAAGAGAACAUAACAAAUGCAAAACCACGACUCAACCCUUCAUGUUGAAUAUCUGACACAAGGUUAAUGUUCUCAACACCUUCGACACCGUAAUCUUUCAGUUUUUGCUUAAUCUGCCAACCCACAUAACAUUAAGGAUGAGUAAUCAAACCUGACAAGUAGAUACACAUAACAAACCAGAUACUUACAGCCUCCUUUGUCCAUGUAUUGCAGAUAUUUCCUACAAACAAUGUGUCAUUGUCCUCACUUGGUGCAGUCCCGCAUCGCUUUCCACAAAUCUGUUUGAGAGGAAAAAUUAGGAUAUAUAUCAAAAAUAGCUGAAGCAUAAACUAGAACAGAUCCAUACCACAGGAUUCUUCAUCUCAGUCAGAGCCCGUUUUGCGUGCUCCUUGUUUGCAAACUUCACAAACGCAUAUCCCUUAUUCCUAUUUGUCGAAAAAUUCUUGUGUAAUCGAACUUCAAUUACCUCUCCAAUCCUCUCAAAAACCUUUCUAACAUCCUCUUCCGUAGCAUCACGAUCCAAUCCACCAAUAAAAAUUUCAUGCUCUUUCUUAAUCUUGCGGUCCUUCGCUAUCGCGUUUAGUUCCCUGCGUUCAUCUUCCAAUGUCUCAGCUUCAUCAGCAGGCUCCUCCAUAUCAUCAUCGGCAAACUCUUCCUCGUCAUGCUCUCCAUAGUCUACGCAAUCACCAUAAUCCUCAUAACUUCCAUAGUCAUCCAGUUCCGAUUGAAAAUUUUCCCCCAACAACUUGCUUUUCAGAUCUUCUUCUUUGUCAACAGGCACAGUCUCAGGCUCCUCUUUGUCAUCAACAUUUUCUAACUCCUCCUCUUCAGGGUCUUCAUCUG